GAUGAACGCUAGCGGGAGGCUUAACACAUGCAAGUCGAGGGGCAGCACGAGGUAGCAAUUACUUUGGUGGCGACCGGCAGACGGGUGAGUAACGCGUAUGUAACCUACCCUGUACUGGGGGAUAACCCGGAGAAAUUCGGACUAAUAUCCCAUAAUGAUAUUUGGAGGCAUCUUUGAAUAUUUAAAGUUCCGACGGUACAGGAUGGGCAUGCGUAACAUUAGCUAGUUGGCAGGGUAACGGCCUACCAAGGCUACGAUCUUUAGGGGUCCUGAGAGGGUGAUCCCCCA
rnacentral:rRNA from 1 species